GACGAACGCUGGCGGCGUGCUUAACACAUGCAAGUCGAACGAAGUGGCGAACGGGUGAGUAACGCGUAAUCAACCUGCCCUUAAGAGGGGGACAACAGUGGGAAACGACUGCUAAUACCGCAUAAUGAAGGAGUGGUAUGCGUCGGAUGAGCUAGUUGGAGGGGUAACGGCCCACCAAGGCGAUGAUCAGUAGCCGGUCUGGUAGGAUGAACGGCCACAUUGGGACUGAGACACGGCCCAGACGCCUACGGGAGGCAGCAGUGGGGAAUCUUCCGCAAUGGACGAAAGUCUGACGGAGCAACGCCGCGUGAGUGAUGACGGCCUUCGGGUUGUAAAGCUCUGUUAAUCGGGACGCGGUACCGGAAUAGAAAGCCACGGCUAACUACGUGCCAGCAGCCGCGGUAAUAC
rnacentral:rRNA from 1 species